AUUGAACGCUGGCGGCAUGCCUUACACAUGCAAGUCGAACGGCAGCACGGGAGCAAUCCUGGUGGCGAGUGGCGAACGGGUGAGUAAAGUAUCGGAACGUGCCCAGUCGUGGGGGAUAACGUAGCGAAAGUUACACUAAUACCGCAUACGAUCUAUGGAUGAAAGCGGGGGAUCGCAAGACCUCGCGCGAUUGGAGCGGCCGAUAUCAGAUUAGGUAGUUGGUGGGGUAAAGGCUCACCAAGCCGACGAUCUGUAGCUGGUCUGAGAGGACGACCAGCCACACUGGGACUGAGACACGGCCCAGACUCCUACGUGAGGCAGCAGUGGGGAAUUUUGGACAAUGGGCGCAAGCCUGAUCCAGCCAUGCCGCGUGCAGGAUGAAGGCCUUCGGGUUGUAAACUGCUUUUGUACGGAACGAAAAGGUUUGACUUAAUACGUUGGACUCAUGACGGUACCGUAAGAAUAAGCACCGGCUAACUACGUGCCAGCAGCCGCCGUAA
rnacentral:rRNA from 1 species